CGCUCUCUGUAGGACGUGCACCUACGAACGCACGCGAAUACACGCACACAGUCGCACUGCCAUGAUCCCGAAAGGGUGUGUGGUGCAGGGUUUUCGCGAGGUCUUCGCCCCAGUCUCGGUGCGCGCCUACCGCCACUACGGUUUCUUGGUGGCAGAAAACUUUCUUCCUGCAUCGCUUGCCCACCAGCUGACGACGAUGUGCAACAUGGCUGUGCGGCAGCGGGGUGACAACAUCUUUCCCGGCCUCGACGCGCAACACCGUCUGGGCGCGACAGUAGCCCCCAACUCGAAGCUGAAGCCCCUGAAAACCCCUGGCGGUGCUGCCGAUACGGGCGCCAAGCCCCUUCACCCCGCCACGCCGCCGCUGGCCUCCUCCACGUCGUUGGGCUUCGGCAACGCGCCGCUGCGGCCGGGCCGGCAGAAAGAGGACGAGGCUGCCGUACGCGAUCGCCACGCUGGGACGCGGGCGAGGAAGAUUCACAUCAUGUUAAGGAGUCGACGCGCCGUCGACAGGGUAUACCGCCGUCUCACCAAGGCCCGCGAGCGCUACAAUGCCCACAGGCGCGUUGGCGGGUACGUGACCGCGGAGGAGGAGAUGGCGGUCAACAUGACCGAGGAGCGCAUCCAGGAGCUGCAGUCCAAGUACACCUACGAGGACUUCCAGCGCAGCUUGCAGCACAGCCGAGACAGCGGGCUCUUGGAGACGGGGUUUCGCCGCGAUCAUUACAUCAACGACGCGAUGACCUUCAUGCAAGACUGGCCACGCACGUGGUGCUGGCUGUGGCGCACAUCUCCUGAGCUGAAGGCGCUCGCGGUGUCCGCGGAAGGGGCGGUGGGCCAACUCGUUGGGGAGGCUGCGGGGUACUUGGCUGGCGAGGUGGUACUGCGUGUGUAUUCCGACAGCGCCACCGAGGCGACGUCACUGAGCAACGCGACUCCGAUGGGCUUUGCCGGUGUCGCCACCAACUUUGCCCAUCCACAUGCGCUGUCGGCGCAGCUGGGGUUGGAACGGCCAAACUCGGCGCACUUGGAUGCCGCCACGAUGGUUAUGCCAGGCUCUCACCACAUUGUGUGGCGCAUCUCACUGGACGGAAAGGAACUCGACCGCUUUCAGCCUGGCGGCAUCUUCGACGUUGGCUCGAUGGUGCGAGCGCUGCCAGAGGUGAGCCACCUGCCUGUUGUGGCGCUUCCUCCUCUAAACCCUGGUGCGGUGCUAUUCUUCAACAACUACCUUCUCAUGGGGACGCAGGCGAACCUCUACGGUGCCGCGCAGAACGCCACCGGCACCGUCGCCGCAGGGCCUGUCGCACACGCAACCAGCUACGCCUUGUCUCUCAUACCAGACCGGUGCGUAUUUGAUGGCAAGCGCAACUCGUGGGCGUCGCGCGAUUCGCAUGGGCCUCUGUACUCGUACAAGCGCGGGCAGCUGCUGACGGAUGAUGCGGCUUUCCCAGUAAUUCACAGAGCUUUGGAUAUAGAAUAAGAGAACACUCCGAGGGAGGGCCGGGGGAGGGCGCGGGAACGGCAAUCGUGGCCGAGGGGGAUACGUGGGCACCCCACGCACACCUACAACUUUACCACAUAUGCACGACUGCGCAUCCCUCUCCCGUCCUCUCCGCUACUCACACGUCCCCCUCACUGUUGCUAACAAAACGACAAGCGAAAAGGAGACGAGAUCAGCACAGGCGCACGCGCGCCAACUCGGAUGUGCGCGGCUGUUUGUGCUCAGCGUCGUCGUUUCUCUUUUCGUCUUUCCUUCCGUGCUAUGUGGUGAGUGAUGCUUGCGCGUGUAUCUGUCAUGCACUGCC
rnacentral:misc_RNA from 1 species